AUACGGAGGGUGCAAGCGUUACUCGGAAUUACUGGGCGUAAAGGACGCGUAGGCGGUUUAGAAAGUCAGAUGUGAAAGCCUAUGGCUUAACCAUAGAACUGCAUUUGAAACUUCCAAACUAGAGUGGGGGAGAGGUCAGUGGAAUUAGUGGUGUAGGGGUAAAAGCCGUAGAGAUCACUAGGAAUACUCAUUGCGAAGGCGACUGACUGGAACUUAACUGACGCUGAGGCGUGAAAGCGUGGGGAGCAAACAGGAUUAGAAACCCUAGUAGUCC
rnacentral:rRNA from 1 species